rnacentral:rRNA from 1 species
UACGGAGGGUGCAAGCGUUGUCCGGAAUCACUGGGCGUAAAGGGCGCGUAGGCGGCCUGGUAAGUAGGGGGUGAAAAUCCUGCGGCUUAACCGCAGGGCUGCCUUCUAAACUGUCAGGCUUGAGCACGGUAGAGGCAGAUGGAAUUCCCGGUGUAGCGGUGGAAUGCGUAGAGAUCGGGAAGAACAUCAGUGGCGAAGGCGGUCUGCUGGGCCGUUGCUGACGCUGAGGCGCGACAGCGUGGGGAGCAAACAGG